UCCCCGGUGGCUCAGAAGGUAAAGCAUCUGCCUGCAAUGCAGGAGACCUGGGUUCAAUCUCUUGGUCAGGAAG
rnacentral:tRNA from 1 species